UACGUAGGGUGCGAGCGUUAAUCGGAAUUACUGGGCGUAAAGUGUGCGCAGGCGGCGUCGCAAGUCGAGUGUGAAAGCCCCGGGCUUAACUUGGGAAUUGCGCUCGAAACUACGAUGCUGGAGUGUGGCAGAGGAAGGUGGAAUUCCACGUGUAGCGGUGAAAUGCGUAGAGAUGUGGAGGAACACCAAUGGCGAAGGCAGCCUUCUGGGCCAACACUGACGCUCAUGCGCGAAAGCGUGGGGAGCAAACAGG
rnacentral:rRNA from 1 species